GACGAACCGUCCAAACGUUGUUCGGAAUCACUGGGCUUAAAGGGCGCGUAGGCGGACUGCCAAGUCCGGGGUGAAAUCUUUCGGCUUAACCGGAAAAGGGCCUUGGAAACUGGCGGUCUCGAGGGAGGUAGGGGCCUGUGGAACUUCGGGUGGAGCGGUGGAAUGCGUAGAGAUCCGGAAGAACACCAGUGGCGAAGGCGGCCUGCUGGGCAGUUGCUGACGCUGAGGCGCGACAGCGUGGGGAGCAAACAGG
rnacentral:rRNA from 1 species